rnacentral:rRNA from 1 species
UUGACAUGCAGAGAACUUUCCAGAGAUGGAUUGGUGCCUUCGGGAACUCUGACACAGGAGCUGCAUGGCUGUCGUCAGCUCGUGUCGUGAAAUGUUGGGUUAAGUCCCGUAACGAGCGCAACCCUUGUCCUUAGUUACCAGCACGUUAUGGUGGGCACUCUAAGGAGACUGCCGGUGACAAACCGGAGGAAGGUGGGGAUGACGUCAAGUCAUCAUGGCCCUUACGGCCUGGGCUACACACGUGCUACAAUGGUCGGUACAAAGGGUUGCCAAGCCGCGAGGUGGAGCUAAUCCCAUAAAACCGAUCGUAGUCCGGAUCGCAGUCUGCAACUCGACUGCGUGAAGUCGGAAUCGCUAGUAAUCGUGAAUCAGAAUGUCACGGUGAAUACGUUCCCGGGCCUU